rnacentral:rRNA from 1 species
CUCCUACGGGAGGCAGCAGUGGGGAAUUUUGGACAAUGGGGGCAACCCUGAUCCAGCCAUUCCGCGUGAGUGAAGAAGGCCUUCGGGUUGUAAAGCUCUUUCAGCAGGAACGAAACGGUGGCUAUUAAUACUAGUUACUAAUGACGGUACCUGAAGAAGAAGCACCGGCUAACUACGUGCCAGCAGCCGCGGUAAUACGUAGGGUGCGAGCGUUAAUCGGAAUUACUGGGCGUAAAGCGUGCGCAGGCGGUUCUAUAAGUCAGAUGUGAAAUCCCUGGGCUCAACCUAGGAACUGCAUUUGAGACUGUAUGGCUAGAGUGUGUCAGAGGGGGGUAGAAUUCCACGUGUAGCAGUGAAAUGCGUAGAUAUGUGGAGGAAUACCGAUGGCGAAGGCAGCCCCCUGGGAUAACACUGACGCUCAUGCACGAAAGCGUGGGGAGCAAACAGGAUUAGAUACCCUGGUAGUCCACGCCCUAAACGAUGUCUACUAGUUGUUGGGUCUUAAUUGACUUAGUAACGCAGCUAACGCGUGAAGUAGACCGCCUGGGGAGUACGGUCGCAAGAUUAAAACUCAAAGGAAUUGACGG